UACGUAGGGGGCAAGCGUUGUCCGGAAUUAUUGGGCGUAAAGAGCUCGUAGGCGGCUUGUUACGUCGACUGUGAAAACCCGCGGCUCAACCGUGUGGUCUGCAGUCGAUACGGGCAGGCUAGAGUUCGGUAGGGGAGACUGGAAUUCCUGGUGUAGCGGUGAAAUGCGUAGAUAUCCGGAGGAACACCGGUGGCGAAGGCGGCUUCCUGGACCGACACUGACGCUGAGGCGCGAAAGCUAGGGGAGCGAACGGG
rnacentral:rRNA from 1 species